ACCCGAACGGACGGACGCAACGCCCGGUCUCUGCCUGCCCCAAUCCCGACUCCAGGCCGUCGUCCCCAACACACCAUGAGGACGAAGAUGGCGGCGGCGCUGGUCCGGGCCUCCGGGGGGAUCGGACCUCCUACGCCUGCCCGAUCCUCCUACUUCUCCUCGCGCUGCUCCUCGCUGUCCCCACUCGCGGCCAUCUCCAACGCCUCCUCCCACGCCUACGCCUUCGCGGGCCGUCAGCCGAUGCCCGCCCCGGAUCCCACCUUCUUCGAUGAUGUCGUCGACGCCAUCGUCGACAAGUACGGCUGGGACCCCGACGCCGAGGUCCGGGUUUGGCCGCUUGACGCCGAGGGCGCGCUCGUCGACCCCGUGUAGUGCUACGAGUUCCCCGCCCACGUGGGGCCCCGUGGUCGCGCUGGCGCGGGCCUCCGACGGGGCCAUCGACUGGAGCCUCCCCGACGCCCCCGUGGUGGAGGAGGUGGUCGGGCCCAACGGGGUCGACUUCGUGACCGGCGAUGGUGACCUGGCGUUCGGCUCCGGCGUUAGGGUCCGUGACAUGGUAGGGCCGUUCGAGCUGGUGGUCUGCGAUGGCGCUGGCAGGGGCCGCGCAGAGCUCCAGUUGCCGUCGGUGAGUGUUGUUUGACUUUUAUCUUUGUUGCUUCAGUUUUUUUGCUUCUGCUUGCUUGCUUGCUAUGCUCUUGAAGUUGUGUGGCCUGUAACAUGAAGCAGUUACUACAAUUGGUGAAUGGUCUAGCUGCUGCUUAUCCCUUUUCUGUUUCUGACUUUGAAUUGAUUGCGUUUGUUGUAGUGUCUGCACCACCGCCCGUUGAUUAGAAUGCAUGUUUCGGCAGUCCACGCAUCGAUCACUGGCAAAUUAAAAAGGCAUGAACGCACUAAACAGAAAUUCUGUGUAGAUGAUUCUUGUAUAUGGCAGUGGCACACGCGCUGGUUGAUGAAGCCGCUGGGCCGGAAGGCCCUCUCAUUGCCAUGCUAAUGAGUAUCACGACGAACAUGGCCCCCACCUCAAUGCCUCCCUGUCGGCGGUGAGGUCUGUCCGGAUCUGUACAACCCGCAAUAUUAGUAAAGAAAAAGAAUAGCUUGAUUGUUCUAUGACUCUGUCGUGGAUAGGUAAUUUGCAUCAGAGGUCUAUAGGAUCUCCGCCAUUAGUUUCCCAUUAGAAAAUUGAGUUACUAAAUUAAGGAAGAUGUCCAAAGAGAGGUAAUCGAUGGCAUGAUAUGCAUCAGAAGAUCCUCAUCACUGAAGUAGUACUCCACCAGUCCACCUACAGUUUUGGAACAUAUAAACACGGCAUCAAAGUGCUACCUGGCACCAAAUAAAGAGUUCAGGUCAGGGUGUUAUACUGCAGCUAAGCAGUAUAGUCUGAAUUUCUAAGUUUGAGGAGGAUUUCAGUGUUUCUAAAGAAAGGGACAAGGAUCAGGGCUAUAAGAUUGUUGAAAGACUCAGAGACAUGUACCAUGAAUCGGGUACAGUAUGCUUUCUACCCGUCUUUUCCUUAUAUUGACUAAACCUUAGUAAAUAACUAUUUCCAGUUUUCUCAUGUAACCUGAACUGCUGCUGGUUUAAAUUUCAGUUCCGUAAGCUGCGGCACACAUGGUCUGCCUCCGUGUCGUCCUACCUGCUUCAGGGCCCUCUACUUCUUCCCCCAAGAUUGCCAUUAUGAUUAACAAAUCUGACGAGAGCAAUUUAAUUGGUGACACAUCAUAUUUAUUCUGCAACUGCAUGUGAAUUCUCAUCUUGCGCCUACCUCUUUUGCUUACCAGGUUGCAAAAUUUCAUUAACUUAUUUGUCGAAGUAUCCUGCAAAAUCAUUUCUCUUAUGGGAAUUAGCCUAUUGUAUUGAUCUAACAAGGUCCACUUCAACCUACAUAACAAUUAUGCAGUGAAGAUGGAGAGCUUUAGGCAAAAAAAGAAAGAAAAAAAACUAGCACGUGAUCUAUGUAGAAUAAUUUUGACAGCAACUCCAACUGUAAGAUUGCUGAAGUUAUUUCUAUGAAAGUUUGUAAGUUUUCUUGAUAUCUAUGUACACCGACAUAUAUCGCAAUUAAUGUUGGCAGAUGCAAUGGAGUACACUUGAUGCGAUCAAUUCUGGUGUGUGUGUGUGAUGCAAUGACGUAUGAAUAACGACAGAAAAAUAUGCCUGAGGAGUAUGGGAUUGACGUGCCCUAUAUGCGGCGACCCGCGGCUACUCCUCCCAGCCCCGGAUAUGCUCUUCCGCCACCUGCGACCCGCAGCUCCAAUGAUCCACGACAAGGGAUGACGACCAACUCGGCUGCCCCUCCCUCGUGCAGCUCCCUCUGAGGCUGCAGCAGCCUUCGCACGAGGCCACUACGGUGCCACCUAUGCUGUCCUAAAGUUCCCUCAGAUUCGACAGUUUCAGUUUCAUCAGUUUCGUCAGAUUUAGUUUCAUCAGAUUCAGAAAAUUCAGUUCAUCAGUUUCAUCAAAGUUUCAGUUGUCAGUUAAUUUGUCGGGCACGUUGGCACUCAUGCACGUCGUCCGCUUCCUCACAUCACUCGCUCACAAAGCCCACCUGCCGAUCCAAACAACGGCUUGGUCAGGGAUCGGACUGGACUAGACGGUGUCCACCAUGACCUGAAGGCGAUGCCCGAGUCCAAGUGCAUGCCGUCAAUAUUCCAAACUGAAGUCCAAGGAAGAACGAUCAGGAACAACAGAUUUCCAAUGGAUGCUGGUAUUGUCGGCUGACAUCUCCGGGGCUGUACAUCAUGAUGGUUACCAAGACACGACAAUGAUCUCAAUGCUACAAACCUGAAUGGAAUACCAUAACUGCAGACCUGAUCACAAUGCUACAGACUUGAAUGAAAUACCAUGAUUGCAGGCCUUUGCUGAUUUGCGUUUUCCAUUGAUCUUCAAUGCACUAAAGAAUAGUGAAAUCUUGGCAUCUGAUUCAUUUUGCAGGCUAUGCUUUUAACUCAAUGAAAAUGUGCAUUGUUAGUUGACCUUAUUGUCUGUUUGUAGCUAAUUGGGAGACAAACAUGGGCAAUGAGCAGCUUUUUUGAUGACAGUGCAAUCAAGGACUCACAUAUUCACUGAUGAAUCUACCUCUAUUUGGUACUGUGUAUAUACCUGAAAAUAGUAGCAUCGGCUUUGCAUAUUUAUUUUCUGAAUCAGCAACACUGUAUUAGGGUCUUCAUCGGCAAUGUACAUAGUGAUGCUUAACUGCCGGUUUGAAUUAUUGGAUGCAUCUGUUGUGAGACAUUCAUGUGUUGUCAUAGUGACUUGCCUGCGCUCAUUGUUGAUCGCUAAGAAGUGAGUUGGUCCAGAGAUUGCAGCUGAGAUGGAGCUCAGCAGGACAACUAGACAUGCACAGCUUGGUAUUAGUCUUAUCUAAAAUUUUACAUAUAAGUUUUUUCCUAGAUUCAAGUACAUUAUAUCAUUAUUUUGCAGGUGUGAUCCACAGAGGAGAUCACAUUUCCAGUCCAGUCAUAAAUUAUUAUAAUUAUUUUACUCAUGUUCAUACUAAAUUUGAAACGGGUCAAUCCACAAGCUUCUGAUCCUCGGUUCAUUUGUGAACUAUAUCCAUGUGUUCUAUCAAGGAUCAUUUUGGCGCAUAUGGAAAAGACAAGCAAUUUUGUUACCAGAAUUAUCAUAUUUGUAAGAUCAAUCACCCAUGGGUUCUGCACUUCACUAGAAAUAAUUUGUACCCUUGACCUGAUAAGUUGUUGUUGUUGUUGUAUUAUGAAUUAUUCAUAGUGUGAGACCAAAUUUAUUGUUUUAGUUUCAUACAAUUUUUUGUUCUUUGAUAAA